AACCCUUGGGAGCGGCUGCACCCCAGGAUGCCGCAAUUCAACAUCGAGGUCGCAAACAUCGUCGUCGAUGUGAACUCUCUAACGAUAUUACGCUGUUAUCCCCGUGGUAACUUUUAUUCGUUGAUCGUUAACUAUUCCACUCUAAAUUAACGGGUCACUAUGGCCCACCCCACCGCCGCCUUUCGGGCGGGCUUUGGGGUGUCUGCUCGGGGUGUCCCCCUCGCAGUCAGGCUUCAGUCAUUAAUUGCGCACCUUAAGCGCACCUUCGUUACUUUUUAAAAGGUGGUCGCCCCAACCAAACUGUCCUACUUACACUGUCCCCCCAAGGGGGGGGGUUAGCCCCUUUGACAUGGGGGAGUGGUGUUUCAUUUGCCCCAGCGGGGGGCUGCCACAUAAUCUAAGCCGCCCAUUUAAAUUCGGCCGGUUCCCAGGCAUGGGAAGGCCGGGGCCAUGUAAGUGCUCCAGUAAAGCUCAACGGGGUCUUUUCGUCUAACAAAUUGGACAGUAGCAUCUUCACUACGAAUUCAAUUUCACUGGGAAUUUCCUUAAGACAGUGGGGCCUUCGUGGCGCCAUUCAUACUGGCCAACAAUUAAUUGGCUAUUGAUUACGCUACAUUAUCACGGUCAGUGUUACCGCGGCCAUUCAAUUGUCCUUACGAGGUCAACUUUUAUCAACCGCUUUUAGAUACAACCAUUGGGCAGGCAUCACCCUCUAUACAUCUAUUUUCAUAUUAGCCGAGG
rnacentral:rRNA from 1 species